CACACGGGGUCUCACAGAGCUCUCAGCACGGGCUCUCGCGAGAAGCUGCCUCUAGUUCCAGACAGGAGCAGCUGAAAUAUCGCGAGAUAUAAGCAUGGCCCCAGCGACCAUGGCCCAAUCUCGCGCAAUGAUUGCGCCACAGAUAUUCCCAUCCCCCACUCAGAGCGGAGCCUUUGACACCCCCUCCACAUGGACGUCCGUAUCUCGCGAGACCGCGCAAGACGCUAGAGCAAAGACAGUUGGUACACUUCCUGUCAAUCUUUUUAAAAACUGAACGCUGAGUGGAGCUCGGUGGUCGCCUCCUCCUUGUGGCGCCUCCUCACAGCUAUCUGAAGGUUUCUCUCCCAGCGCUGACCGCCUUUCCCCUCCCCCGGGCCUCCCACCCUGGUGUCUGUCAAGGUCGCCAUAAGGGAACCUAGUCCAUAUGGCGAUAGAAUGCAACGAAAACCGCCAUGUAUAGAUUCUCCGCCAAGAGUGAAGAAGUGAAAAGCAUGUAAAAGAGAAGGCAAGAAAAGACCAUAUGGGGCUAGGAGGCUAUGGGUGUAGAAUAAAAAUUAGAUAUUCCGGCCUUUUGGAGCCAGUGGGCUAGCUAGGCACGACUAACUAAAGACCCUUGGAAAUAGUGGAGAAAAGCAAAGAGAAGGUGAAAAAACAAACUGCUUCCCUUGGCAAUGGAUCAGCUAUUUAUGCCCUGGAAUUUUAUAGUCUGGCCUUGUGUCGGGUUGCUAUUGUUUCUUCAAAAAUGUCCCCCAUUCCCUUGGGACUUGGCUUCUCGCCCCUUAAGUUUCCCAAAUACCUGGCAGUUAAGAGUAUACAAGCACCACCUGUUCUCUGGUCAACACUGAAAAAGAGGCAGCAGAGAGGUUGACUAUAAGGCUUUUUCCUCCAAGAUAAAAAUACUUGAAAAAAAAUAUUUGAAAAACAUUAGAGGACUUACAACCAAAAAAUCUUACAGGAUGAUCAGAGUGAACCUGGAAAUUUAGAGCACAAUCAAGAAACACCAGCUGGAAAACUCUUCUCUAAAACAAAAGUAUUUUUUAUGUUUAAAGAAAAUAUUAACAUAAUAUGUUUUUCAUUCAUUUUGCAAAGCCUGCCUCUGUCUGGCUUAUGGACAUUCUGUGUAAAUUAAUUCCCCUUUCAUCAUUUUGUUCUCAUUUGAACCAAAACGUCAUUGGUUUAAAUCAUCUCCACCAUCAAAAAUAUUAUUCUGUUUUAUAACUUACAGAGAAGAGGUCACAGAAUAACCAAAAGCCUGGAAUAGAGGAGGUAAUAGAUAGAGAAUUUGACUUUAAAUUUAAAAUAUUUUGCCAAUGUCAGGACACCUGGCUGGCUCAGUCUGUGGAGCAUGCAACUCUUCAUUUCAGAGUUGUGAGUUCGAGCCCCAUGUUGCAUGUACAGAUUACUUAAAAUCUUAAAAAUAUAUUCUGCCAUGGGGUGCCUGGGUGGCUCAGUUGUUAAGGGUCUGCCUUCGGCUCAGGUCAUGGUCCCAGGGUUCUGGGAUCGAGCCCUGCAUUGGGCUCCCUGCUCCGAGGGAAGCCUGCUUCCCCCUCUCCCACUCUGCCUGCUUGUGUUCCCUCUCUCACUGUUUCUCUGUCAAAUAAAUAAAAUCUUUUUAAAAAAAAAA